rnacentral:rRNA from 1 species
UUUGAAUCCAAUUAUUAUAAAAUAAGUUUUUUGAAAUUAUUCUUUUUUUUAUUAAUUAAGUCGAAAAAAGUUUUUUAAUUAUAGUUUAAUAGUAAAGUGAUUGAAUUUUGAAAUAUUUUUUAUAAUUUUAAUAGAAGAAUUAAUUUUUCGUACCUUGUGUAUCAGGGUUGAUUAAAUAAAAUUUAAUUAUUUAAUUUUCUCGAAUUGAAAAGAUCUAAUUAGAUAUAAAUUUGAUUGUUAAAUAAAUCUUUAUAAUAUCUUUUUAGUAAUGAAAUGUUAUUCGUUUUUUAAUAUAUCUAGUUUUUUAAGAAAAGAAUUAAAUUCUAUUAUUAUUUAUUAAAAGUUAAUUUUUAACUUUUAGGUUUUAAUAUUAAACUCUUAAUGGGAUGAGCUUUUAGGAGUAUAACUAAAAAUUUUUUUAUUAAUAAAGAUUUGUAUAAUUAGAAUUGUUAAUCUUUAGAAUAAUUUUAUAUUUAAUUUUUUUUAUUUUUUAUUUAUAUUUAGUUUUAGGUUUUAUAUUAAAAUUUAAUUUUUAAUUUUAUUUAUUUAUUAAUAAUGAUUAAAUUAGUAAAUUUGUAAUGUUUAAUUUAGCAUAAAUUUUAGAUUAAGAAAAGGAAUUCGGCAACUUUAAUUUCCGCCUGUUUAUUAAAAACAUGUCCUUUUGAUUAUAAUUUAAGGUCUAAUCUGCUCAAUGAGUAAUUAAAUUGCCGCGGUACAUUGACCGUGCAAAGGUAGCAUAAUAAUUAGUUUCUUUAUUGGAAGCUGGAAUGAAUGAUUGGACGAGAAAUUUUCUGUCUCUUUUUAAUUUUUUUUUGAAUUUAACUUUAAAGUAAAAAGGCUUUAAUUUAAAUUAAAGACGAGAAGACCCUAUAGAGUUUAAUAUUUAUUUUUAAAUGAUUUAUUUGGAAUUAUUUAUUUAUUUUUUCUUAAAUAUUUGGUUGGGGUGACUAAAAGAUUUAAUAAACUCUUUUAAUUUUAUAAUCAAUGAUUUUUGAAUUAGGAAUCUAAUUUUUUUAAAGUUAAGAUAAAUUACCUUAGGGAUAACAGCGUAAUUUCUUCUUAGAGUUCUUAUUGAUGAAGAAGUUUGCGACCUCGAUGUUGGAUUAAAAUUUAUUUUUGGUGCAGAAGCUGAAAUAUUAAGUCUGUUCGACUUUUAAAAUUUUACAUGAUCUGAGUUUAAACCGGUGUGAGCCAGGUUGGUUUCUAUCUUUAUUACAUUAUAAUAUUUUAGUACGAAAGGACCAAAUAUUAAAUAUAUAUAUUUUUAUAUUUGAAUAUUAUUA